CAAGUCGGAGCGAACCAAUAAGAAGCUUGCUUUUUGUUGGUUAGCGGCGGACGGGUGAGUAACACGUGGGUAACCUGCCUGUAAGACCGGGAUAACUCCGGGAAACCGGUGCUAAUACCGGAUAGAUUAUCUUUCCGCCUGGAGAGAUAAGGAAAGAUGGCUUUUGCCAUCACUUACAGAUGGGCCCGCGGCGCAUUAGCUAGUUGGUGAGGUAACGGCUCACCAAGGCGACGAUGCGUAGCCGACCUGAGAGGGUGAUCGGCCACACUGGGACUGAGACACGGCCCAGACUCCUACGGGAGGCAGCAGUAGGGAAUCUUCCGCAAUGGACGAAAGUCUGACGGAGCAACGCCGCGUGAGCGAAGAAGGUCUUCGGAUCGUAAAGCUCUGUUGUUAGGGAAGAACAAGUAUCGGAGGAAAUGCCGGUACCUUGACGGUACCUGACGAGAAAGCCACGGCUAACUACGUGCCAGCAGCCGCGGUAAUACGUAGGUGGC
rnacentral:rRNA from 1 species